GUUAUGUGUUCUGUAACUCGAUAUCGCUCGAACUCGAUGGUCCCUCCAUUAUCGAGUAAUGGAGAGAUGACUGUACACCACAGGGUGACUGCUUCUCGUACGCUCUUUUGCCUUAAAAGCAUCAUGUUUACAGCACUUUUUAAGGCCUCAAUGAACCGAAAGUUUCGUUGUUUAUGCUUCAUUUUUGUUGCUGUUCGCUUUUUAAAUCCUACAUUUAUUUAAAAAAUCGAAUUAUAAAUUAGAUCCCAGCUAUUAGGUUAACAUUUUCACUGUCCGGUCAUAGAAAACAUGAGGUGUCCACUGGUCCAGAGGACUUACAAUGGUUUUACAAAUAGGAUGCUUUUCUUUGAGUUUCUACAUUUUCCAAUAAAUUUUGCAUUAUGAUUUAUGCAAAACUUCCUGAAGUCAACGUACGGAGAAAAUUCAGCUGAAAUUAUUAGAAACAUUUGUGGUUACACUUGUAUGAAAUUUUCUCGUUUCACAUUUUUGCAAUAGAUCGAAUCAGGGUGCAACUUUUGACAGCUACUGUUUUUAACGUUUGGGCAUGAAAACUUCAUAGUUUGUGUACACUGCAGGCAUUGCAUUUCAUCUCAUCUUUCGAUCAUCUGAGCAAGAUAUUGAUCAAAUAAGAAGAUAUCAUCUAGGGCUCUUUGAUCAUAUUUUAAUGAAAAUCUUCGGCUCUUUUGAUGCUCGAUAAAAUCCUUCGACACAGCAAUCCACGUAGUUUAUACGAUGACAAUGUUUGAAAAAGGUGCAAAACAAAAGCAGUGAAAGAUUGCAAACUCAACGAAAGUUCUGUGCAAAGCAUGUGCUAACGGUUCUGUGCCAGAGAAUCUAGCGGCAUAUUGGGAAUGUUCGAUACCAUUUCUUCCUAAAAGAUCGAAACCAAGCGUUCAAGGACAAUAAUGGCCGGAAUAUUCCAAAUAGAGAUUCAAAUAAUUGAUCACAAGUUUAUACUAAUUAAACACAGCUUUCAAUCAAAUUUGGUAUACGUAGAAGGCUACUGACUUUAAAUAUGUCUAAUGAAUGAAAAAGUUAAAGAAUAAAAUUACUAUUGUAUAGAAAUAAACGCAAUUUUAUGUCUAACAUUAUAAAAAUGAGAGGUUUUUUGCUGAUUCCAUGUACGACAAACUGGGUAGCAAGUUAUCUUUACAGCACAUUGUGCUUGACCAUAGGAGAAUUUGGAGAAAAAUCAACUUUCGCUUGUCGAUAAUUUAGGUACAUGUGAGUGCUGAGAAGUAAAGGUUCCCUUCUGUUACGGAAAACUUUUCUUCAAACGACAAACUUCUCCACUGGUCCAUUCAGUGUUUCAAGUGUCUUCUGGUGGAAGAAGGUCUCGGGGUCUAGUGCCUCUGGUACAUUUUUAUUAUCUCGAGAAAGUUCAAUAGCCGACCCCAAUAUUUCCUUUGUAUAUUUGUCGGUCUUCAAAUUGGUCGAAACACUAUAGGCUAAUCUAUAGUUUAACAAUCAGUAGAUAGCACGUUCUAAAAAUAGCUCAUUCUAGUGUCACAAAAUGCUAUAGUUCCAACUUAAAUUACGUUAUUGAACAUCAGUAAUCACUUUCGAAACAGACAUUUGAUUAUAUCACCAAAGAGUUGUCAAGAUCAUCAAGAUGAAAAGAUCGAAUCAUUUCAAUGCGCUCUUGGAUUGAGGAUAAUAUCUUUCAACCAUACGGAGAUGAUCUCUUCGAUCAGAUGAGAUUGUAAAGCCUGGUCCACUGUAAACAUGUGUUUUGGUAUAAUCCUGGAAUACUAAAAUCUGAAUAUCAUUAUUCGUUUUUGGAAAAUUUGAACUGUCCGGCCAUAGACGACUUCCCCCCUGAGAGAGACUCUUCUUCUUCUUCUCCUCUGGGUGGCCGAGACUGAGAGAGACUCGCAAAGAGGAAAAAUAUCAACGUCAUAUGCAGCCAAGAUUCCGCUGUCACGAAACGUCCAAUACGGCCCGCCGAUUUUAUGGCUGAAAAAGUGUCAAGUAUUGUAUUCGAAAUAAACUAUUAUUAAAAACCUCAAUUAGCGGAGCAAAGAUGCUAAUAAAUCUUAACAGAAGACUAGUUAGGGGUCAUG
rnacentral:lncRNA from 1 species